rnacentral:rRNA from 1 species
ACUCAAAGGAAUUGACGGGGACCCGCACAAGCGGCGGAGCAUGCGGAUUAAUUCGAUGCAACGCGAAGAACCUUACCAAGGCUUGACAUAUACGAGAACGGGCUAGAAAUAGUCAACUCUUUGGACACUCGUAAACAGGUGGUGCAUGGUUGUCGUCAGCUCGUGUCGUGAGAUGUUGGGUUAAGUCCCGCAACGAGCGCAACCCUCGUUCUAUGUUGCCAGCACGUAAUGGUGGGAACUCAUGGGAUACUGCCGGGGUCAACUCGGAGGAAGGUGGGGAUGACGUCAAAUCAUCAUGCCCCUUAUGUCUUGGGCUUCACGCAUGCUACAAUGGCCGGUACAAAGGGCUGCAAUACCGUAAGGUGGAGCGAAUCCCAAAAAGCCGGUCCCAGUUCGGAUUGAGGUCUGCAACUCGACCUCAUGAAGUCGGAGUCGCUAGUAAUCGCAGAUCAGCAACGCUGCGGUGAAUACGUUCCCGGGUCUUGUACACACCGCCCGU